CGCGUAGGCGGAUUAGCAAGUCAUGGGUGAAAUUCCAAGGCUUAACCUUGGAACUGCCUGUGAAACUGCUAAUCUAGAGGAAAGGUGGAGAAAAUGGAAUUCCCCAUGUAGCGGUGAAAUGCGUAGAUAUGGGGAGGAACACCGGUGGCGAAAGCGGUUUUCUAACCUUCACCUGACGCUGAGGCGCGAAAGCGAGGGGAGCAAACA
rnacentral:rRNA from 1 species